rnacentral:rRNA from 1 species
GCUGGCGGCGUGCCUAACACAUGCAAGUCGAGCGAAGUGCUCGGAGGGGAAUUAUUCGUAAUGAACCACCGAGUAUCUUAGCGGCGGACGGGUGAGUAACGCGUGAGAAACCUGCCUUUCACAAGGGAAUAGCCUCGGGAAACUGGGAUUAAUGCCCUAUGAUACUUCAACAUCGCAUGAUGAUGAAGUUAAAGCGUAAAGCGGUGAAAGAUGGUCUCGCGUCCCAUUAGUUAGUUGGUGAGGUAGAGGCUCACCAAGACAGCGAUGGGUAGCCGGCCUGAGAGGGUGAACGGCCACACUGGAACUGAGACACGGUCCAGACUCCUACGGGAGGCAGCAGUGGGGAAUAUUGCACAAUGGAGGAAACUCUGAUGCAGCGACGCCGCGUGAACGACGAAGGCCUUCGGGUCGUAAAGUUCUGUCCUUGGGGACGAUAAUGACGGUACCCAAGGAGGAAGCCCCGGCUAACUACGUGCCAGCAGCCGCGGUAAUACGUAGGGGGCGAGCGUUGUCCGGAAUUAUUGGGCGUAAAGGGUUCGCAGGCGGUCUUUUAAGUCAGAUGUUAAAUGCAUAGGCUCAACCUAUGAGUGCAUUUGAAACUGGAAGACUUGAGUUAAGGAGAGGAAAGUGGAAUUCCUAGUGUAGCGGUGAAGUGCGUAGAUAUUAGGAGGAAUACCAGUGGCGAAGGCGACUUUCUGGACUUUUUCUGACGCUGAGGAACGAAAGCAUGGGGAGCAAACAGGAUUAGAUACCCUGGUAGUCCAUGCCGUAAACGAUGAGUGCUAGGUGUCGGGGGUCAAACCUCGGUGCCGGAGCUAACGCAUUAAGCACUCCGCCUGGGAGUACGUACCCAGUUUGAACUCAAAUGAAUUGACGG